rfam:Angiostrongylus costaricensis strain Costa Rica genome assembly, scaffold: ACOC_scaffold0000124
GGCGGUAUAGCUCAGUGAUAGAGCGCUCCCCUAGCAUGGGAGAGGGCUGGGAUUCAAUACCGCAUACCUCCA